UCCCUUCUUAAAGCACUUGCUCUGUCUGUCCGGUGGCUGGGUGAGUUGUCGUAGAAGGGAAUAAUAAAAUCAUCACUGUGGGUGAGACGGCGGCGUCUGCUGUGGCUGACUGAUCUCAAUCAGGGAUGAGACAAUC
rnacentral:snoRNA from 1 species